CCUACGGGGGGCAGCAGUGGGGAAUAUUGCGCAAUGGGCGAAAGCCUGACGCAGCGACGCCGCGUGAGGGAUGAAGGUCUUCGGAUCGUAAACCUCUGUCAGCAGGGAAGAACGGUCACUGUGCUAAUCAGCAGUGAAUUGACGGUACCUGCAAAGGAAGCACCGGCUAACUCCGUGCCAGCAGCCGCGGUAAUACGGAGGGUGCGAGCGUUAAUCGGAAUUACUGGGCGUAAAGCGCUCGUAGGCGGUAUGUCAAGUCAAGGGUGAAAUCCCCGCGCUCAACGUGGGAACUGCCUUUGAAACUGGUAAACUGGAGUGUGUGAGAGGAUGGUGGAAUUACAGGUGGAGGAGUAAAAUCCGUAGAGAUCUAGAGGAAGAUCAGGGGCGAAGGCGACUAGCUGGAACAUAACUGACGCUGAGGAGCGAAAGCGGGGGGAGCAAACAGGAUUAGAGACCCGAGUAGUC
rnacentral:rRNA from 1 species